AUUGAAAGUUAUGAAAUUAUAAGAUUAAAAUGUUCCUACUAAUAUAUAAAAUACCUAUGAUAUUAUUGUGCCUUUUGGUGAGUGGGAAUGAGGGUUUGGAUAUGAUCCAAACUUCACUAAAAAUGUUAAUAACUAUGUAAGAGUGUGGAGAAUAUUUUUUAUCUAUUUCGCUUUGUACCUAUCCUCUGUAAUGCCAGGUAUGACUAACUAUUUGAUAAAAAUUGAAGACUAACACGAGACUGAGGUUGAACAGGCUAAGUGAGGAGGUGGGCACAAAUAGUGAGAGGAAUAGCCUGACUUUUCCAAGGACUAGGAUUUGGGCUGAUAGGAUGUAUUACUGGGGUGCUGGCUGAGGCAGGGAGAGGAGGCUGAAAUAUGAGGAGAGGUUAAGGAAGGCAGAAAUCUUCAUUUGAAGAAUCAGUGCUGUCUGCAACAAAAGAACCAUUCCAGUGUCUCAAGGCAGCAGCAGGAUGCCAUCUGUUCCAGCAACUCAGGGUAAUUGGAGAAGGACAUUUCCCAGGCAGCUAAAAGUAAAGAACCAGAAAGGAUUCUGCCUUAUGGAAAAGCUCUCUAACACACAGACAGCAGCACAGAGCAAUGGAGAAGAAGAGAUAGAGUGCAAGAGGAUGAAGAAAAGGACCAAGACUAUUUUCAAAUCAUCCACUGCACUACUAGAAAAAAAUCCAUGUAUUUUCCAGCACUCCAUCCUCACUGUCAAAACUGUCAAGAAUGUAAAAGUUCUGAGAUUGUACCCUACCUGCAAGGCAACAAGUUAACCUGGCAUGGUUUCAUGUCUGCUGAUAGAAGCUAUGAGGCUCCUAAGUCACAGGUAAAGAACUACUUACAUUCUUUAUUUCUCACAGUAAUAGCAGUAACUAG
rnacentral:lncRNA from 1 species